GUGCUCAUUUUGGUAGCACAUAUAGUAAAAUUGUAACAGUACAGAGAAUUAUCAUGGCCCCUACUCAAGGAUGACACACUGAUUCAUGAAGCUUCCAUAUUUUUA
ensembl:snRNA LOC120102585 U6 spliceosomal RNA